UGCGGUUAAACAAAAAUUAAUUUAAAUUUUAUUAGUUAAUUAAAUAAAAAUUAAAUGAAUAAGGUUAAUAAUUAUUUAAAUUUUAAAUUAUUAAGUGAAAUUUUAAUUUAAUUAAAAAUUUUUUUUUAAUUUUAAUAAAUUUUAUUUUAAACUAGGAUUAGAUACCCUAUUAUUGAAAAUUUAAAUUUUAAAACUAAAAUAGUAAAUAUAAUUUUAUAUUAAAACUUAAAUAAUUUGGCGGUAUUUUAGUUCAUUUAGAGGAAUCUGUUUAUUAAUUGAUAAUCCACGAAUAAACUUACUUAUUUAAAUUAUUUUGUAUAUCGUUGUUAAAAAAAUAUUUUAAAAUGAGAAUAAUAUUUAAAAAUUAAAAUAAAUAAAUAAAAUCAGAUCAAGAUGCAGAUUAUAAAUAAGAAUAUAAUGGAUUACAAUAAAUUUAUUUAAAUGAAUAAUAAUUUGGAAAAAUUAUUUAAAGGUGGAUUUAAAUGUAAUUUUAUUUAAUUUAAUAAAAUGAUUAAUAAUUAAAAUAUGUACAUAUUGCCCGUCGCUUUCAUUAAUAAAUUGGAAUAAGUCGUAACAAAGUAGAGGUACUGGAAAGUGUUUCUAGAAAUAU
rnacentral:rRNA from 1 species